rnacentral:rRNA from 1 species
AACGAACGCUGGCGGCAGGCCUAACACAUGCAAGUCGAGCGCCCCGCAAGGGGAGCGGCGGACGGGUGAGUAACGCGUGGGAAUAUGCCCUUUGCUACGGAAUAGUCUCGGGAAACUGGGGGUAAUACCGUAUACGCCCUUUGGGGGAAAGAUUUAUCGGCGAAGGAUUAGCCCGCGUUGGAUUAGGUAGUUGGUGGGGUAAUGGCCUACCAAGCCGACGAUCCAUAGCUGGUUUGAGAGGAUGAUCAGCCACACUGGGACUGAGACACGGCCCAGACUCCUACGGGAGGCAGCAGUGGGGAAUCUUAGACAGUGGGGGCAACCCUGAUCUAGCCAUGCCGCGUGAGUGAUGAAGGCCUUAGGGUUGUAAAGCUCUUUCAGCUGGGAAGAUAAUGACGGUACCAGCAGAAGAAGCCCCGGCUAACUCCGUG